UACGUAGGGGGCAAGCGUUGUCCGGAAUCAUUGGGCGUAAAGCGCGUGUAGGCGGUCCGGUAAGUCCGCUGUGAAAGUCAAGGGCUCAACCCUUGAAUGCCGGUGGAUACUGCAGGGCUAGAGUCCGGAAGAGGCGAGUGGAAUUCCCGGUGUAGCGGUGAAAUGCGCAGAUAUCGGGAGGAACACCAAUGGCGAAGGCAGCUCGCUGGGACGGUACUGACGCUGAGACGCGAAAGCGUGGGGAGCAAACAGG
rnacentral:rRNA from 1 species